UACAGCAGCAGCACAGCAGAGGACUGUGGGCCUAUUCUGAUGGGGGGCCUGGAGCUGCAGCUCCAUCCGCCCCAUUGUUAAUCCGGCCCUGCCUCCGACGGGUUACCAUGGAAACGGCGCUGAAGAGCGCGCGUCGCCCCCUGGUGACAUCAUCGGCCCCCGUCCAGGAAGCACUCACAGCGUGCAUGAUGGUCUGUGUGGGGUUUUAUUUAAGAAAUUGUCCAACAAAGAUUGAGCUAUAAAGUGAUCCAACUUAUUUCGAACAUUCCUAUGGUUGCUUUUUGGACUGAUUGUUUUGCUGUAUCGACCACCCCUCUGAAGAAGUCCGCAUAGGACGAAACGCGUCAGAGUUGAAGAAAAAGAGAAAAACACCCUUUAUUAUAAAUCAUUUAAUACAAUGUAUGAUCUUUGUAUCUGAAAGGGUGAUCUCUGUAUUGAGCAAGGAAUGUGUUUUUAAUAAAUUAUCAA